CCUACGGGUGGCAGCAGUGGGGAAUAUUGCGCAAUGGGCGAAAGCCUGACGCAGCGACGCCGCGUGAGGGAUGAAGGUCUUCGGAUCGUAAACCUCUGUCAGCAGGGAAGAACGGUCACUGUGCUAAUCAGCAGUGAAUUGACGGUACCUGCAAAGGAAGCACCGGCUAACUCCGUGCCAGCAGCCGCGGUAAUACGGAGGGUGCGAGCGUUAAUCGGAAUUACUGGGCGUAAAGCGCUCGUAGGCGGUAUGUCAAGUCAAGGGUGAAAUCCCCGCGCUAAACGUGGGAACUGCCUUUGAAACUGGCAAACUGGGGUGUGUGAGAGGAUAGUGGAAUUCCGGGGGUGGGAGUAAAAUCCGUAGAUAUCUGGAGGAACAUCAGUGGCGAGGGCGACUAUCGGGCACAUAACUGAGGCUGAGGCACGAAAGCGUGGGGAUCGAACAGGAUUAGAUACCCUAGUAGC
rnacentral:rRNA from 1 species